UAUUUAUGUGACAAUUAAAGUGUAGAAAAGUUAAGAUGGUGGCUAUCUUUGAAUGGAGGUGAUGCUUAUGCAAGUAAGCACGCAAAUCUAUGGAGAGGAGAUGCCUAUUUGUCAGCGUUUGAAGCGAUUCAAAUCAUCAUUGAUUUUGAUUUAUAUACCAUCGAAUU
rnacentral:sRNA from 1 species